rnacentral:tRNA from 1 species
AUUUGUGCCUGAAAGUUAAGGUAC